GUCUGGUUCUACACACACUACUUACAUGGCGGCUGUGAGCUACAGGGAGGCAUCUCUUCUCUCACCACGAUGUGUUAUCGGGACACUGGAGAGGGUUGCCAUGGCUGCUGUAUUUUAUUGCUCACAGCUGUGCAAACUCAUUUUGGCCAGAAAAUUCUCCCGUCUAACCUCUCCUUUCAUUGGUUUGCACAAUCUCAGACAGUGUGGAUUAAAACAACAACAACAACAACAACAACUUAAGGAAAAGUUAUGUUCUUAAGGCAAACCAAAC
rnacentral:lncRNA from 1 species